rnacentral:lncRNA from 1 species
UUUCUAUUUACUAAUAAUUUUAUAUUUUAAGAUUGAUUUACAUUUUAAGAUAUAUGUUUAAAUCUUAAUGUAGGUUUUCCCUUUUUUUUUAAAUUGUAUAUUUCCAUUUGUUAUACUUUCUAUUUACGUAAUAUCUAUAUUUUAAAUUUUAAGAUAUAUUUUUAAAUCUUAAUGUAAUUUUCCAUUUUUUAAAUUGGGUAUUUUCUUAUAUUAUAUAUUUACUUAUUAUUUAUUUUUCUUUAUAUUGUGUAUUUCUAUUUCUUAUACUUUCUAUUUACUAAUAAUUUUAUAA